rnacentral:rRNA from 1 species
CAGUAGCCACGGUAAUACGGAGGGGGCUAGCGUUGUUCGGAUUUACUGGGCGUAAAGCGCACGUAGGUGGAUCCUUAAGUCAGAGGUGAAAUCCCAAGGCUCAACCUUGGAACUGCCUUUGAUACUGGGGAUCUCGAGUUCGGGAGAGGUGAGUGGAACUGCGAGUGUAGAGGUGAAAUUCGUAGAUAUUCGCAAGAACACCAGUGGCGAAGGCGGCUCACUGGCCCGAUACUGACGCUGAGGUGCGAAAGCGUGGGGAGCAAACAGGAUUAGAUACCCGCGUAGUCCCUGUCUCUUAUAC